AGCAGUGAGGAAGGUGGGUAUGUUAAUAGCAUAUUCAUUUGACGUUAGCUGCAGAAGAAGCACCGGCUAACUCCGUGCCAGCAGCCGCGGUAAUACGGAGGGUGCGAGCGUUAAUCGGAAUUACUGGGCGUAAAGCGCAUGCAGGUGGUUUGUUAAGUCAGAUGUGAAAGCCCGGGGCUCAACCUCGGAAUUGCAUUUGAAACUGGCAAACUAGAGUACUGUAGAGGGGGUAGAAUUUCAGGUGUAGCGGUGAAAUGCGUAGAGAUCUGAAGGAAUACCGGUGGCGAAGGCGGCCCCCUGGACAGAUACUGACACUCAGAUGCGAAAGCGUGGGGAGCAAACAGGAUUAGAUACCCUGGUAG
rnacentral:rRNA from 1 species